GAACGCGAAAAUCCCGCAAGGGAUCUGUAGAGUGGCAAACGGGUGAGUAACACGUGGGUGACCUGCCUUCGAGUGGGGGAUAACGUCCCGAAAGGGACGCUAAUACCGCAUGACAUCCUGCCUUUGAACAGGUGGAGAUCAAAGCUGGGGAUCGCAAGACCUAGCGCUUGAAGAGGGAUCCGCGGCCGAUUAGCUUGUUGGCGGGGUAAUGGCCCACCAAGGCAAUGAUCGGUAGCCGGACUGAGAGGUUGGCCGGCCACACUGGAACUGAGACACGGUCCAGACUCCUACGGGAGGCAGCAGUGGGGAAUCUUGCACAAUGGGCGAAAGCCUGAUGCAGCAACGCCGCGUGGGGGAUGAAGCUUUUCGGAGUGUAAACCCCUUUCGACCCGGAAGAAAGCCCGCAAGGGUUUGACGGUACGGGUAUAAGAAGCCCCGGCUAACUACGUG
rnacentral:rRNA from 1 species